GAAGGAGACAACAGAUCUGGGGUCAGGCUAUAGAAGGAGACAACAGAUCUGGGGUCAGGCUAUAGAAGGAGACAACAGAUCUGGGGUCAGGCUAUAGAAGGAGACAACAGAUCUGGGGUCAGGCUAUAUAAGGAGACAACAGAUCUGGGGUCAGGCUAUAUAAAAGGAGACAACAGAUCUGGGGUCAGGCUAUAUAAGAAGACAACAGAUCUGGGGUCAGGCUAUAUAAGGAGACAACAGAUCUGGGGUCAGGCUAUAGAAGGAGACAACAGAUCUGCCACUAUAUAGGGAAUAGGGCUCUGGUCUAUAGUAGUACCACUAUAUAGUGAAUAGGGCUCUGGUCUAUGGUAGUUAUACUAUAUAGGGAAUAGGGCUCUGGUCUAUAGUAGUGUAAUAUAUAGGGAAUAGGGCUCUGGUCUAUAGUAGUACCACUAUAUAGGGAAUAGGGCUCUGGUCUAUAGUAGUACCACUAUAUAGGGAAUAGGGCUCUGGUCUAUAGUAGUACCACUAUAUAGGGAAUAGGGCUCUGGUCUAUAGUAGUGUACUAUAUAGGGAAUAGGGCUCUGGUCUAUAGUAGUACCACUAUAUAGGGAAUAGGGCUCUGGUCUAUAGUAGUGUACUAUAUAGGGAGAAGUGUGCAUCCCAGAAACCUCAACAGAGCAAUGCUCUUUAGAGGAGUGUGUGUAUGUGUGUGU
ensembl:lncRNA